rnacentral:rRNA from 1 species
GAUGAACGCUGGCGGCGUGCCUAAUACAUGCAAGUCGAGCGAGCAGACGAGGAGCUUGCUCCUCUGACGUUAGCGGCGGACGGGUGAGUAACACGUGGAUAACCUACCUAUAAGACUGGGAUAACUUCGGGAAACCGGAGCUAAUACCGGAUAAUAUAUUGAACCGCAUGGUUCAAUAGUGAAAGACGGUUUUGCUGUCACUUAUAGAUGGAUCCGCGCCGCAUUAGCUAGUUGGUAAGGUAACGGCUUACCGAGGCAACGAUGCGUAGCCGACCUGAGAGGGUGAUCGGCCACACUGGAACUGAGACACGGUCCAGACUCCUACGGGAGGCAGCAGUAGGGAAUCUUCCGCAAUGGGCGAAAGCCUGACGGAGCAACGCCGCGUGAGUGAUGAAGGUCUUCGGAUCGUAAAACUCUGUUAUUAGGGAAGAACAAAUGUGUAAGUAACUAUGCACGUCUUGACGGUACCUAAUCAGAAAGCCACGGCUAACUACGU